rnacentral:misc_RNA from 1 species
AAGUCGUAACAAGGUUUCCGUAGGUGAACCUGCGGAAGGAUCAUUACUGAGUUUAGGGUCUCCUUGUGAGCCCGAAUCUCCAACCCUUUGUUAAAAACACUUUGUUGCUUUGGCAGGCCCGUCCUAUCCUUUAACCGGGAGACGACCGCCGGGGGCGUUUAGUCACCUCUGGUCAGUGCUUGCCGACAGCCUAUUAAAAAUUCUUUAUUAAAUAAUGUCUGAAAAAUUAUAAUUAAAUGUAAUUAAAACUUUCAACAACGGAUCUCUUGGUUCUG